UUCUUUGAGAAUCUGCUGGAUUGGUGCUGUGGCCACUUCCCUUAGGGAGCCUGUUCCAGUGCCCAAACAUCCUCUAGGAGAGUAAC